rnacentral:rRNA from 1 species
UGACCUACGGGGGGCAGCAGUAGGGAAUUUUCGUCAAUGGGCGCAAGCCUGAACGAGCAAUGCCGCGUGAACGAGGAAGGUCUUCGGAUCGUAAAGUUCUGUUGAAGGGGAAAAAGAGCGGAGAGAGGAAAUGAACUCCGAUUGAUAUUACCCUUCGAGGAAGUCACGGCUAACUACGUGCCAGCAGCCGCGGGUAUACGUAGGUGGCGAGCGUUAUCCGGAAUGAUUGGGCGUAAAGAGUGCGUAGGCGGCCUGCUAAGUCUGGAGUGAAAGGUACCGGCUCAACCGGUACAGGCUCUGGCAAG